AAGUUCAAGUGAAACUGGAAGGGCUGAACGUCAUUUCUUUGCAAGGAAGGAUCCAGAUACGUGAUGCAAGAAUGAGUCUUUCCGGUACUCUAACCAUCGUAGUCGUCUGCGUUGUUUUGGCUCUUACAGUUCACAAAUGUGAUGCUGCCAAAGGCGGUGCUUGCGGCCAGCCAUGCAGACGCAACGACGAUGGGUCUACUUGGGGUUGCACUGGCCCCUGCAUUUGCAAAACAGGCACAUCUCCAAACGGAAUCGCACUCUAUGGUCGUGGAACAUGCGUGCAUGUGUAGCCCCGCAAAGAAUUCUAAUUGGAAGCAGAGGAAGACAACAAAACAGCCAAGAAACCCA
rnacentral:lncRNA from 1 species